AUUGAACGCUGGCGGCAGGCCUAACACAUGCAAGUCGAGCGGAUGAAGGGAGCUUGCUCCUGGAUUCAGCGGCGGACGGGUGAGUAAUGCCUAGGAAUCUGCCUGGUAGUGGGGGAUAACGUCCGGAAACGGGCGCUAAUACCGCAUACGUCCUGAGGGAGAAAGUGGGGGAGCUUCGGACCUCACGCUAUCAGAUGAGCCUAGGUCGGCUUAGCUAGUUGGUGGGGUAGAGGCCUACCAAGGCGACGAUCCGUAACUGGUCUGAGAGGAUGAUCAGUCACACUGGAACUGAGACACGGUCCAGACUCCUACGGGAGGCAGCAGUGGGGAAUAUUGGACAAUGGGCGAAAGCCUGAUCCAGCCACGCCGCGUGUGUGAAGAAGGUCUUCGGAUUGUAAAGCACUUUAAGUUGGGAGGAAGGGCAGUAAGUUAAUACCUUGCUGUUUUGACGGUACCAACAGAAUAAGCACCGGCUAACUUCGUG
rnacentral:rRNA from 1 species